ACUCCUACGGGAGGCAGCAGUGGGGAAUAUUGGACAAUGGGCGCAAGCCUGAUCCAGCCAUGCCGCGUGAGUGACGAAGGCCUUAGGGUUGUAAAGCUCUUUUGGCGGGGACGAUAAUGACGGUACCCGCAGAAUAAGCCCCGGCUAACUUCGUGCCAGCAGCCGCGGUAAUACGAAGGGGCGUAGCGUUGUUCGGAAUUACUGGGCGUAAAGCGCACGUAGGCGGAUUUGUUAGUCAGGGGUGAAAUCCCGGGGCUCAACCUCGGAACUGCCUUUGAUACUGCAAGUCUUGAGUCCGAGAGAGGUGAGUGGAAUUCCUAGUGUAGAGGUGAAAUUCGUAGAUAUUAGGAAGAACACCAGUGGCGAAGGCGGCUCACUGGCUCGGUACUGACGCUGAGGUGCGAAAGCGUGGGGAGCAAACAGGAUUACAUACCCUGGUAGGCUCUGC
rnacentral:rRNA from 1 species